AGAGUUUGAUCAUGGCUCAGGGUGAACGCUGGCGGCGUGCUUGACACAUGCAAGUCGAACGGUAUGUGGCAACACAUAGAGUGGCGAACGGGUGAGUAACACGUGGGAACGUACCCUACGCAGGGGGAUAACUGACCGAAAGGACAGCUAAUACCGCAUAAGACCGAAAGGUGAAAGGUGCAACUGCACCGGCGAAGGAGCGGCCCGCGGACCAUCAGCUAGUUGGUGGGGUAAGAGCCUACCAAGGCAACGACGGAUAGCCGGCGUGAGAGCGUGGCCGGCCACAAGGACACUGAGAUACGGGUCCUACUCCUACGGGAGGCAGCAGUGCGGAAUUUUAGAUAAUGGAGGCAACUCUGAUCUAGCGACGCCGCGUGCAGGAAGAAGGUCUUCGGAUUGUAAACUGCUGUGGUAAGGGAAAAAUGCCAUGUAGAGUGGAAAGCUACAUGGAGGGAUGGUACUUUACUAGAAAGCCCCGGCUAACUACGUGCCAGCAGCCGCGGUAAUACGUAGGGGGCGAGCGUUACCCGGAAUCACUGGGCGUAAAGGGAGCGUAGGUGGCCUGACAUGUCAACUGUGAAAACCCGGAGCUCAACUCCGGACUUGCAGUUGAAACUGCCAGGCUUGAGGACGGUAGAGGAAGACGGAACUGCCAGUGUAGGGGUAAAAUCCUUAGAUAUUGGCAGGAACGCCGGUGACGAAGGUGGUUUUCUGGGCCGGUUCUGACACUGAUGCUCGAGAGCCAGGGGAGCGAACGGGAUUAGAUACCCCGGUAGUCCUGGCCCUAAACGAUGUUCACUAGGUGUGGGGAGCGGAAAGCUUUCCGUGCUAAAGCUAACGCAAUAAGUGAACCGCCUGGGGAGUACGCCCGCAAGGGUGAAACUCAAAGGAAUUGACGG
rnacentral:rRNA from 1 species